UGGGGAAUAUUGGACAAUGGGCGAAAGCCUGAUCCAGCAAUGCCGCGUGAGUGAUGAAGGCCUUAGGGUUGUAAAGCUCUUUUACCCGGGAAGAUAAUGACUGUACCGGGAGAAUAAGCCCCGGCUAACUCCGUGCCAGCAGCCGCGGUAAUACGGAGGGGGCUAGCGUUGUUCGGAAUUACUGGGCGUAAAGCGCACGUAGGCGGCUUUACAAGUCAGGGGUGAAAGCCCGCGGCUCAACCGCGGAAUUGCCCUUGAGACUGUAUCGCUUGAACACGGGAGAGGUGAGUGGAAUUCCGAGUGUAGAGGUGAAAUUCGUAGAUAUUCGGAAGAACACCAGUGGCGAAGGCGGCUCACUUGGACCGUUGUUGACGCUGAGGUGCGAAAGCGUGGGGAGCAAACA
rnacentral:rRNA from 1 species